GGCGAUUCACGGCUUGGUCUGGAACGUAAACAUUUUUCCGAAAGCAAGCUUCUUCUCCAAAAUUCGAAAUUUCCUUCCAAAAAUGCCGUCGUCCUUGACCUCGAAGCUGAAUGUUGUUAGGAUAGAAAAUUAGCGAAGAUGUAGCCGACCCAUUCUGGCGAGCCGUGUGCCCUCUGGAUAUGCAGUUGUUCGCCAUGGUCAACAAUCUUCUUCUCCUUCGUUCGUACUUUCACUUUCCUGACCACGAAUACAAGCGGUACCCAUGCUCAGGAUUGUCGCCAGGGUGAAUACCAUUAUCAUGAGCGAAGGUCUCUGAGAACCCAUGUCUGAAAGCUGGUCAUGUUGGCCCAACGAUGACUUUCAUUGCCUGUAUCCGCCGCCUUCAUACUGGAAUGAACUGGAACAUGUUCCCUCUCUGUUUCUCAUGUGGAAGGACGGAACAGAUUGUUUGUCUGUCUCUGUGGAUCACCAAAGGCUGAACAGUACAGUUGGAAGAAUAUUGGAUCUCACGAAGUGACUGAAUCUGAAGCCGCUGAUAUGCAUCUGUACAGCGCUUUCUUUCUGAGAUUUGCUUCAAGGCAGGUUAUUGUGUACAAUUUUGUCCACAGUAUUCCUAUAUUUGCCAAACGUAUUUCUCUAGACUGAUAGUAUUGUGACUACACACUCGCAAUGAUCUCUCCAUCAUCAGUCUUUCGCAAUGAUGUGGCUCACUGAUGACAGCAUGCAUAGCCAUAGAUCAAAUGAGCAGCUAAGGUAGUUGAAGCAGAAGAAUGGAUCAAUGCAUCCUGAACCUGGUGUACUGCCUAUAUGCACUCUCAGUAGUAUUUGUAACGUGUUAACUAUGAAGUAUCAACAUUGCUUCUCUUC